rnacentral:rRNA from 1 species
AAACAUGGCUCUUUGCAUUUAUUUUAUAAAGAGUCAGGCCUGCCCAGUGAAUAAUAUUUAACGGCCGCGGUACUCUGACCGUGCAAAGGUAGCAUAAUCAUUUGCCUUAUAAUUGAAGGCUAGUAUGAAUGGUUUAACGAAAGCAAUACUGUCUCCUUUCUACUUUCAAGAACUUAACUUUUAGGUGAAGAGGCCCAAAUUUAAUUGAAGGACAAGAAGACCCUAUCGAGCUUAAAAGAUAUUAUAGAAGUUUAUAUAUUUUUAGAUAAAUUUCCUAUUAAAGCUUUUUAGUUGGGGCGACUAAGGAACAAAAAAAGCUUCUUAUAAUAAAUGAACAACCGGGUUUUGAUCCGAUAAUAAUCGAUUAAAGGAAUUAGUUACCGUAGGGAUAACAGCAUAAUCUCUCUUGAGAGACCUAAUCGAAAGAGGGGGUUGUGACCUCGAUGUUGGACUAGAAUAUCCUAAAGAUGCAGAAGUCUUUAAGGGUCGGUCUGUUCGACCGUUAAAAUUCUACGUGAUC